CCUACGGGAGGCAGCAGCAAGGAAUAUUGUGCAAUGGGCGAAAGCCUGACACAGCGACGCUGCGUGGGGGAAGAAGGCCUUCGGGUUGUAAACCCCUUUUCUCAGGGAAGAUGAUGACGGUACCUGAGGAAUAAGUCUCGGCCAACUACGUGCCAGCAGCCGCGGUAAUACGUAGGAGGCGAGUGUUAUCCGGAUUUACUGGGCGUAAAGAGGGCGUAGGCGGCUUGGCAAGUCGGAUGUGAAAUCUCCUGGCUUAAGUGGGAGGGGUCAUUCGAUACUGUUGGGCUAGAGGGCAGCAGAGGGAGGUGGAAUUCCCGGUUUAGUGGUAAAAUGCGUAGAUAUCGGGAGGAACACCAGUGGCGAAGGCGGCCUCCUGGGCUGUUUCUGACGCUGAGGCUCUAAAGCGUGGGGAGCGAACAGGUUUAGAUCCCCGAGUAGU
rnacentral:rRNA from 1 species